rnacentral:lncRNA from 1 species
UAAAUUGUGAUUAUUUUGAGUUAGUAAAAAGUAGAAGCAACACUUAUUUUUUUUAUAUUUGAGCUAAAGAUAUUUUAAUGAACACCUUAUUAAAAAUUCACAUAACUUUUUUUUUGAUAUCCUGCAGUGUGAAAAAAAAAGAUUUAAGGGAUAUAUCCUACACACACACACAAGCGUUAAUCCUGUGCAUAUUCUUAAAUAUAACGAACAACAUUACACAAUCGAACUGUCUAACGAAUUAAUACAGUAAUUCGAUUAUUAUUUGAAGCGUAAGAAUUGAUUAAUUCGUUAUAAAAUUUGAUAAUAUAUUUUUAAAGCACGAUAUAGUGAUUUAGAAGUGUAUUGAUGAAUUAUUGUGACUUUUAUUUGUCCAGUAAAACGGCUAAUCCGGCAAGACACUGCCGAGAAUCGAGAUUCACCCCCUGUAUGUUUACUGUGUCACGAUUGGAAAUAGUUAAAUUAUAUCUAAUACAAUUGAGUCUCUGUAGUCCAACACCCUGCGAACCGUCGCGCCGCCCACGUGAGAUUUUCAUGUCACCUUGUCCAUGUGCGAGAGAGAAACCGAUGUAAACAAAUUGUAUGUCGCUAUUCGUUCGUUACGCAGACUUUAUAGUUGGAUUAAUUUUUAAAUUCAGUACACUGUUUGCUAUAAAACUGUUUUUACUGUAUCAGAGUUUAUCUUUACAUAAUAUCACAUAUCGGAAAAAGUAAAAAACGAAAACACAAGACAUUGUGAUCAAAAAGGCAGAAAUAUUCAAGAAAUUUGACUUGGGAGAAAAGUUUAGUGAUUUCACUUCGUUUUAUGGAC